rnacentral:rRNA from 1 species
AUACGGAGGGGGCUAGCGUUGUUCGGAAUUACUGGGCGUAAAGCGCGCGUAGGCGGGCUGGUAAGUUGGGGGUGAAAUCCCAGGGCUCAACCCUGGAACUGCCCUCAAUACUGCCAGUCUUGAGUUCGAGAGAGGUAAGUGGAAUUCCUAGUGUAGAGGUGAAAUUCGUAGAUAUUAGGAAGAACACCAGUGGCGAAGGCGGCUUACUGGCUCGAUACUGACGCUGAGGCGCGAAAGCGUGGGGAGCAAACAGGAUUAGAAACCCUGGUAGUCC